GAUGAACGCUAGCGAUAGGCCUAACACAUGCAAGUCGAGGGGCAUCACAUGAAGUAGCAAUACGGAUGGUGGCGACCGGCGCACGGGUGAGUAACACGUAUGCAACCUGCCUUCAACAAGGGGAUAACCCGUUGAAAGACGGACUAAUACCCUAUAACACAGGGGUCCCGCAUGGGAAUAUUUGUUAAAGGACAACCGGUUGAAGAUGGGCAUGCGUUCCAUUAGCCUAGUUGGCGGGGUAACGGCCCACCAAGGCAACGAUGGAUAGGGGGAACUGAGAGGUUUAUCCCCCACACUGGUACUGAGACACGGACCAGACUCCUACGGGAGGGCAGCAGUGAGGAAUAUUGGUCAAUGGACGCAAGUCUGAACCAGCCACGUCGCGUGAAGGAAGACGGCCCUACGGGUUGUAAACUUCUUUUAUACGGGAAUAAAGUGCCCCACGCGUGGGGUUUUGCAUGUACCGUAUGAAUAAGGAUCGCUAACUCCGUGCCAGCAGCCGCGGUAAGU
rnacentral:rRNA from 1 species